GCCUCACCGUGGGGCGGCCAUCGUCCCUCCGCCCCUCUCAACGCGACCGCCGGUCCGGGGGGGCGGGCCGAGCCGCGGGCGGAAGUGCUCGCCGCCGACCGGAAGUGACGCACCGGAAGUGACGCGCCGGGCGCCGCCCGCGACACCUGCGGCCCAGCUCGUUCGAGUCGUGGGCCCUAUUGCUUCCCUGCGGCCGCGCCGGAGCUGCGCCUGCUGCUGACCACGGUGCACCCGGGCCGUCCCCGCGCGGCCCAGGUCGGGGAGGGGGUGUGCCGGGCGACAGCAACCCCCGCCCACUGCCCCGGCCGUCCCGGGUAGGGGGUGUGUUCCGGCGGGUCCCGCUCGUGUGAGGCGGCUCCGGCCUCUCAUCCCCGCCGGGCCGCCGCGCGGUCUUGAUCUCAAGGGACAGUAGAGGGGAGACGGAGGGAGCGCCCUGUCGGGGGGCUGGAACCUGGCAGCGCCCCGCACACCCGGGUCCCGAGGCCGCGCGGAGACGCAGAGCCGCGCCUGCAGCCCCGCACCUGCGCGGUCUGUCCUCCCGCCGCGCCCCUGCCCGCGGCCAAUGACCGCUCCUUCAAGACCGGGGUCGUUCAGUUCUCACUUGCUUUUCUCCGCAGCGAUUUCCAAUGAGCACAUUUUUCCUUCAGACCAGUUAGCGUAAGGUGCCCGCAGGCCGCGCUUCUCCGGGAUGGCCCACAGGGCCGCCAAAGGGAGCCCCCAGGGCUGGUCCCCAGGUGAAAAACAGGAAGAAAGCAGCAAAAGUGGGAGUGUACGGUGCCGUUUUCGUCCUUCAAGUAUUUAGGACGACUUCAUCCGAACGAAGUUCGCAGGGUAGAUUUUUCCUUCUUGCGCAAAACCCUGAGACGCUUGAUGACUUCCCAGUGGUCCUGGGUUUUGGUGGUCUGUGAGUCGUUUAUAGUCAAAUAAUUUCAAGAUUAAAUUUAUAAAAACUCAACAUUUUUAUAGCAAAAUCUUUCUUACGUGUCAUCCGGGGAAACAGUUUUGAAGUGCUAUCGUGUGAGCCUGGGGACUUUCCCUCCUGCCCUCGGAGCUUCCAGUUGGCCUCCAAGCCGCUGCCUCCAGCCACUGCCUGCAGAGCGCUUUGCUCCGCAGACACAUUCCAGAGCCGGCGUCCUGUCCCCUCUCUGCCUGCCAACGGUUCUUGUCUCUAAAUACUCAAAGGAAACACUGUUGCCCGCUAAGGUGGCCUCAGAGAUUUCACCCUGGGGUCAUGUCUGAGUUGUUCGUGAUGGGUGCCACACGGGUGUUUUUAUCUGAACUUGCUGGAGUUCCAACUUCUUCCUGUGACUGGAUUCCAGGAAGCAGAAUUUUGGGCGAAAGCAUAUAGACUGGCCAGGAUUCGCCAUACUCUACUGGGUUUCAAGUGGGGUCGUUUAAAUAAUGCCUCCGCUCAUCUGCACACCCAAGGCUGCAGCGUAGAUGCCAGUGUAGACACGAAUCGGUUAGGGUGCAGUCCCUGUUGAAGGAGGAGACCUGACCAACAAAGACUCUGAGGCUGAGACUCCCCCGAAACCUGCCUGGGAAGCUCUAGCUGGGGUGUCAGGCCCUCUGCCCAAGCCCUGCCUCCCUCCAAGACACAGGGGACUUCUGACCUCUGGACCCCCUUCUGACAACGAUCUCUUCCUUUAGGGUUUGGAUGACGUUUAAAGGGUGAUCUUCUGGAAAGCAGGAAGGAAAGUGUCCGUGGCAAGUUCACGGGUCCCUCCCAGAUGGCUGAGCUGCUGUGUGUGCAGCUCCUGGCUUCCUGGCCCUCACCCCUCUCAUCAGGCUUCAUCUGUGUGUGGGUCCUAGUCUGAUGGCCCCACCCAGGUGGGAUGAUGGGGUCUACAGGCCCAGAGGAGCCCCAUUCCCAGGCAACAGUGAGGACAGCAGAGAAGUCUGGAUGGGGGCCCAGGAGCCCCCAAAGCCCAGAGAAUGGGGCCUGGAUCAAGUUCUGUUGGGUGGGAAGAAGGAGGAGGCCCCCUUUUCUGUGCCACCAGGCCCACUGACAAAGUUGUCAGGAAGCACUGACAAGCAGCUGGUUUGGAAAAACAGCUCCUGUCCCUAAACCAGAGACGAGCCCUUCCUGGGAACUCUUUGGGUACCCCUACCCCACACCCUACAGUGUGACCCCCUUGGUCUGACCCUGGUGGAGCCACCUGCAGCCUCUGUCCCUGGGAUUCAGCCUCUGGGCACCAUGGGGCUAAAAGUCAUGGAAGCAAAACCACAGGAUUAGGGAGCAGCCCCUUUGCUAUCUCAGGCCAGUGUCUGGGGAGCAGCGCUGGUGAGCAAGGGGCCACGCCUGGCCUCACUCUGCUCCCAGGAAGCCAUGGGCUGAGGUCAACUCCUGCCUUUGUCCUCUUCGCUGCUGGGGAGGAGGCCAGCCUUAACUGGAGGCCUCCAUGGGAGGCACAGCAUGGGAGGGCCACAGCUGAUGCAGGCCACCUGCGGGAGGGGCACUGGCCAGCGGGUCUGUAGGUGGCUUGGGACAUACCCUGCCAUCCCUCUCUUUCCUCUGCCCCACCCCAACCUCAAUCCCACUUCACCCCUUCCCACCAAAUCCUCAGUGUUUCCAUGAUUCUGAAAAACACCCAACCUCUGGCCUGGAUCUUUCUGAAGGAGAAUGUGCCAGAAGUGGCUGAUCUCCACGUGGUCACUGUGCAGUUCCCGCCUUCUCCCACAUCCCUCUCACCACCACUGCCCCGCCCUGCCCCGGUGCUCUCUGUGCUCCUCCAACUGAUCCUUCACUCUGGGUCCCCCUCACCCCCAGGCAGACUAGCUGGUUCCUGGUAUCUAGUGGCUUCCAGGUUAGGUAACACGGGGCAGGAGGGGAGCUACUGCUUUUUGGGACAGCACUGCUGUGACACGGCCGGUGGCCUGGCCUGAGAUGGAAGGGAGGCCAGCCAGGUGGGGAACUCAGCAGAGGCCUGGGUUGGGGUCUGGCCCUGUGCUGUUCCAACUUAGCCAGCAAAGGCCAGAAAGGGUUCCAAGGCUAACACCCUGAAGCCUGGAAGCUUGGGGCGGCCUGAGACCCUGUGGCCUCUGUGCCCCACCCUCCUCCUUUCCCCAAGGCAGGAAAAGUCCAAGGCUCACAGGUCAACAGCCAUUAUUGAGACAAGUGGCCUUGUGGUUAAAGGCAGCACCCAACACUGAGCCAGCCCCUCUAGCCAGCUGAUUCUGGCCCUUGCCCUCAAAGUGCGCCUUCUGCCACCAGAGGGGACAAAGCCCAGCCUGGGAUCCGCGCACACACCGCCAGCUCGAAUCUUGAGAGCCUCUGGAUGCUAGGGUUGAGUUCGGGUGCCUGCCCCACCCUGCUGCCUGUGGCACCUGUGCAAACUGACCACAGGUGCCUGUAUUUCCCAGCAGGCCAGCCCACAGACUGCAGAGGCCUCCUGGCCACUGGGACACCUGAGCAGUAAGGUGACUUGCUCCCACACGUGCACCAGGAGAGCAGGGGGUCCUGAUCAGGGCAGGUCAAGGCCACAUACGGCCCGGGGAGGCUGAUGGUCUAGGACUGGCCUGGAAGGAGGGACAGGGAGGCUGGGGGAGAGCUCAGCUGCUUCUCCCCUUCCCCACAGGCCUCUGCAGAUGGCUGGGGGCACCCAGUGUCCCAGCACACAGGGCUGUCUGUGUCCUCCUGCAUGUCUGCAGUGCUCAGCUGGGCUCCUGGCAAAGCCUUCCCCCAUAUUGACCGACACCUAGUCAAGACCAUGUGGAAUGGGAGGAGAGAGAUGAGACAGGUGGUGACACCCAGUUCUACACCCCUUCUGUGGAGAACAGGUGCUGAGCCCCAGGCCUACCGGUGCUAAUGGCAAGGCUGACGGGGGCACCUGGGAUGGGAUUCAACGUGGCGGCUGCCUGGGCAAGACCCCCUCUGCCUCACACAUCCCAACGGCACACUUGGUGUCCAAAGACUCUAGAAGCCUGGCCUGCCUCUCUAAGUAUCUCUGUGUUGGUUACAAAGAACCAAAUAAAGUUGCCAGCCAAUCCAA